rnacentral:rRNA from 1 species
UCCUACGGGAGGCAGCAGUGAGGAAUAUUGGUCAAUGGGCGCGAGCCUGAACCAGCCAAGUCGCGUGAGGGAGGACGGCCCUACGGGUUGUAAACCUCUUUUGCCGGGGAGCAACGGGCGUCACGUGUGGCGCCACUGAGAGUACCCGGAGAAAAAGCAUCGGCUAACUCCGUGCCAGCAGCCGCGGUAAUACGUAGGGGGCAAGCGUUAUCCGGAUUUACUGGGUGUAAAGGGAGCGUAGACGGCAGCGCAAGUCUGAAGUGAAAUGCCGGGGCUUAACCCCGGAACUGCUUUGGAAACUGUGG